CCCUGAAAGCACUUGUGAACACCUGAGGAUCAUCUCCAGCAAAAGAGAUCAUCACUGGGACUUCGAAGGUUUUGCUAAAUAAAGCUGACGUUUUUGAGGCCAUCCAAGAAACCAACACACAGCAGCCUGGAUUUCCACCCGACAUCCUACAUGAUCUGUUAGAAGGUGUUAUUCCAGUGGAGCUUGCUCUCUGUUUAAAAGGCUCAAAAGUUCCAGAAGGGGAUCAGUAUCUUGAAAGAAGACUCAUCAGCAGUCUUCAAGAACUGCAAGGAGGAGGAGUUUGAAGAAUUCCUCAAGGGGCCAGUGGCACUGGUGGCUGUGGUAGAUGAAGACAAUGUGCCUUCAGUAAUCCCGUUUCAGCCACUCAGUGUAUCGGUUAUCCUUGAGGAUCAGGUGGUAAUGUCCCACAGAUCUUGGGCAGAUGCACUGGUAAAUUUGUUUGGCUUACUGUUUGCUCUACAUUUGAGCUAUCCAGAGAAGUUGGCAGGCUUCUUUGAGUUCGUCCAGAUUGUCAUCUUAAAUCUUGAUGAUGGAAGAAGGCAACUCAAACCGAAGUUGCAGGCAUUGAGGAAUGAGCUAGAUUGAUUUUCUCAGACUGAAUAUGUUCUGACAGGUCAAUGGUGCUUGAAUGUAAUCAUUGGGCUUUAAUGCAUAAGCCCAAUAGUGAAAAAUAAUUAACCUGCCAAAGGUUUUACUACCAAAAACAAUAUACAUGUUCCAGAGAACCAGGCCAUUAGUGGGUUUUUUUCCCCCAGUAUCAUUGUUUGUGCUGAAAUUAAUUAAUCAAAAUUAAUUGAUCAAAGAGGCAGGUAAUUAUUGUAUGCUAAGUUAUUGUGUUCUAUUGUUAGUGCAUCUAGAUUUAACUAGGUUCACAAGGUUAAUAAAUAUGACUAUUACUAUAAGCAGAUCAGUGAAGUGUACUCAUUUGGCAAAGAACUGGUGGUGAAAAGUGUUGAAGUACAAUUUGUUUGGGUAAAAAAAUUCAGCAAUAACCAUUGAUGGAAAUGUGUACUGAGACUGUGUACAUAACACACAUUUUACUGAGAACUAGUGUUUUUAUUUUUAUGUUUCUUUGUAACUUGUUCAGGUCAUGAUUCUACCAACAAUUGGUUGUGUUCAGUGUUGUUGAAAUUGAGGCUGACAUGUAAAUAUUUUGGUAAUGACUCUUCCAUUUAUAGCUGUUCUCAAACACAGUCAAGGCUGUGCAUGUAAGGCACAUUUAGCUGAUAAUAGUGUUUUUUGUUGACAGAAUGAUACUUUAACCACAGGAAGAGACUGUGACAGUGAUAUUCUUUAAGGUGUGUGUACCUUAUAGCAAUGUUUUAAUUCCACAUUCCUCUUUCUUGAUUUUAUUUAAAACAGUAAUGUUUAUGCUUUUAAAGAUUGCUUAUUUAACUGUGUUGCUCUCUUUUCCAACUAUUUUAUUUAUUUUAGGU